CACUCACACCCUUUUUCUUUCUCUUUCCUCUCCCAAAACAAUUUAGGGUUUUUCUGCAAAUUCUCUCUCCUCAAUUUCUCGAAGAUCUUCCCUCUUUCUCAGUCUUUCUCUUUCAGAUCGAAGGAAGAUCAAUGGCACCUUCACUUCCUCAGUUCUACAGAGGCACCAGCACUCUCGCAUUGGUAGCUCGUGCAUCAGCUUUCACCGCUGGAUUGGUCUACGGAAACAUGAAGCUCAAAGUUCUCAAGAUGAAGGCCAAGUCACAUAAGAAAGCUGAAGCUAAGACAGGAGCCCAGGCAGAGGCCCAUCACUGAUAGAUAGUGAAUGGGAUAAAUGCUGAGGGGAAGGAUGCAUAAAAAAGUUUGUCGAUUUAUCACUUCACCAAGAGGCUUUUGUAGACCUUGAUACUCGUAGUUGUGCAUGUUCUUAUUUACAAAUUUUUGUGGCUCAAUGACCAUCAACAUAAUGACAACAAAUUGAUUUUAGUUGCUCAAAUGAAAACAUCAUCUUGAGAUGAUUUUAUCUUCAUUAAAUUUUGAUUAAUAAAUUGUUUUGCUUUGUGCUCAGGUGUACUUAGCUUUUGACUCUUGCUUUGCUUGAGCUUUUUGCUUGGCUUUGUUAUUUUGACUGUGAAGAGUGAUACACAUUCUACUGUCAGAUUAUAUUGUCAAAUAAAUAAAUGUUCAGAAAAUUAGAGCUUA